rnacentral:rRNA from 1 species
AAACCGUUCAGGGGUAAACCUGAGAAACCCAAAAGAUCGAAUGGGGAGAUUCAUCGUCAGCGUUAUUGGUACGUGUGCGGUUCGUGAUGCUUGGGACUUCGGUUCCGCGGCACGCGUCCGCAUGUUUUUAUUGCCUGGUAACGUCGGCGUGCACUUCUCCCCUAGUAGGACGUCGCGACCCGUUGGGCGUCGGUCUACGGCCCGGGUGGUAGCCUGUCUCGUGUGCGCUUAACGGCGUCACCGCGAGGCAGACCCCCGGUUGUCCGACCGGCUGCCCGGCGGUACUCGCAAGGUAUCCAGCCGCAAUUAUUCGAACUGCGUCCGGCCCGUCGCAAGCGAGGCAAGUGUUUCCCGAAUGUACGGAUCUAAUGCCGUCAUCGGGCCUGGCCAGCUGUUGGUUGACGGUGUCCUAGGACCGGCUGUAAAAAAAUUAUGAUACCGGUCAGCGACGCUACUGCUUUGGGUACUUUCAGGACCCGUCUUGAAACACGGACCAAGGAGUCUAACAUGUGCGCGAGUCAUUGGGAGCUAUUAAGCCUAAAGGCGCAAUGAAAGUAAAGGUCGGCCUUGCGCCGACCGAGGGAGGAUGGGCCGUCUUAAGAGACGGUCCCGCACUCCCGGGACGUCUCGUUCUCAUUACGAGAAGAGGCGUACCCAGAGCGUACACGUU